UGGGUAUCUGCUCUUCUUUCUUAUUGUGUCAAGGAUGGCAGGGUCAUGUUUAUAAUAUUUCAUUUUCUACUUCUUCUCAAUAACUUUUAGCAAGUGCCUUUUGUUUUAUGACAGCAUCUCAACAUAUAACAGGACCUACAGUAUCAGUAAAUAAGAGUAUAGGAAUAGCUUAUUAGUUAUCCACGCCUACAAAAUUUGUUCCAAACCUGAAAAGUCUUACAAUUGUAUAUGCCUUGCCUUGCAAUAUCAGUAAUGCCUUAAUCGCUUGAUAAGUUUGAAGGUUCUUUUCCAUUGUCUUCCAGGUUUCUGCUUUGCUUUGUCUUCCAGGUUUCUACUUUGCUAAUGUUAAUUUCCCGUUCCAGGAUCUUGCAAACGCA
rnacentral:misc_RNA from 1 species